CUGUUGAUGACACUAGUUAUCUAGUCUGCUUCUGCUUUAAUUCUGCUAAUACUAAAGAAAGAUCAAAAUGUGUUGUUAAUUAUCAGUAUUAUAUUCAAAGUAUAUUUUAGUGUGCUAUGUGUAAUUUAAAAAGUUAAUAUUUCAUGUCAAAUUAAUAUUUUCUCAAAUGUUAUGGCUGGCAGCAUUCCUCCACUAGUCUCCUCCUCCCCUCCCCCUUUGUGUGCCUUCGAUGAUGAUGAAGAAGAAGAUGAUGAUGAGUUUGGAAUGUACAAUACCGCUGAGGAAAUUGAUUAUAAUGAAUGUAUCACAUUCAAGGAGAAAGGAGAGGAUAAGCAGAUUGGUAACAAGUCUAGAGGUGAGCAGGACAGCACCAGCCAGGAUUCUGCGACAGACUCCGGGUUGUGUCCUGACAGUGAGGGUAUGUCCCCAACACCUCACAGUGAUGAUGAGCGGAUGGCCCAUAAGCCUGUAGUGCUUUCAACCCAUGCUGUUGCGGCACUGCCAAACGGGCACGUCAUCUCGGAUUGUGAUGGGGAUCUGGCAAAAUCUGAUGAUGACUUUGGAAAUUUUGAGUUCCAUGCUUCACCUGCUCCUCAUGUCGCUGAGAAUCAAUUACACGAGGAGACAGAAAAAAGCCCAAAACCGCCAGAAGUAGAAAAUAAUUGCUUAUUUCUCCCAAAAAAUGAGGAAAUUGAAAAUGAACAGACUAGUGCAGAAUUUAAGGCGUUUCCAGAAGAAGCAGAUAAUCCUGAAAGAAGCAGCGAAAUCCCAGUUGAACCUACAAAAGAAAUAGAUUUAGACUGUGGUGGAGUUUUUUUACCUGAAUUUCCAGCACUUGCUGAACAGUCAGAAAUUGAAGACUUACAGGAUAUACAAAAAGAAAGUAUUAGUGAGAUUAGUGUUGCAUUAGAAACUGAACUCAGUGAAACCACAAAAGCAGAUGAUGUCAAGUUUGAGGACGAAGAUGAUGAGUUUGAUGAUUUUACAGAUUUCAAGGCGAACUUUACCAACAGUUUAGAUUUACCUGAGGCUGACCAGAGUGAUAAAAUUAGUGAACAUUCAAAACCAAUCUCAGAACUGGAACAUUCCGAAGAUGGGGGGAAGUCUUUGCAGAUUCCACAUCUAGAUGAAAGUGAUGAUGAAUUUUCAAAUUUUGCAGAUUUUUCGUCAUCAGAUUGUGCGUUUGUCAGUGCACAAAGCAGCAAUAGUUUAGAAAGUGUUUCACACAUUCCAUUUAAACUUAGUGACAGUACAGAUCUAAGGACAGACUGUGAAUUUCAGGAUUGGGUGUCGGCAUUCCCGAGCGAUUCGGAGGUGAUGGGAGAUGCUGCUGUAGUGCUGCUCAAACCUGAUGAUGUUGUGUGGAUGCGUCUGAUCCCCCUGGAGUCAACCCCUGCUCUCUCUCAUCAGUGGGCAGAGUCUCUGGCCAAUCGUCGUCUGCUGACAGCUCUCAGCAUCGACUCAAGGAACAUUCUUGACGUGUGGUGUCCAGCUGUACAUGCCGUGGAACAACUCAGCAGUGCCGAGGUUUGCCGCCAAUCUGAGCUGCGGACCCUUAGAGCCGGUCAAGGCGACAGAGCCCCUACAGCCAUCACCGCAGCCAGCGGUUACUACACAGCCGGUCACCACACAGGAAUCUGUUCCGGACGCUCACUUCGACUGGGUGAGCAGUGGGCUGACCAAUCCUCUUGAUUCUAGCCAUUCAACUUUGUUGGAUCUGAACUUGAUGGCGACACUCGCAACUCAUCUUACACUUAAUCCAAAACCAGUAUUAAACCUGCCGAAGACGCUGAGUCCAGAAGCAGAGACUACCCUCAGCUCACUACCAGACCUUU
rnacentral:misc_RNA from 1 species